AUUGAACGCUGGCGGCAGGCUUAACACAUGCAAGUCGAGCGGGGUGAUGGUGCUUGCUCCUUGAUUCAGCGGCGGACGGGUGAGUAAUGCCUAGGAAUCUGCCUGGUAGUGGGGGACAACGUUUCGAAAGGAACGCUAAUACCGCAUACGUCCUACGGGAGAAAGCAGGGGACCUUCGGGCCUUGCGCUAUCAGAUGAGCUUAGGUCGGAUUAGCUAGUUGGUGGGGUAAUGGCUCACCAAGGCGACGAUCCGUAACUGGUCUGAGAGGAUGAUCAGUCACACUGGAACUGAGACACGGUCCAGACUCCUACGGGAGGCAGCAGUGGGGAAUAUUGGACAAUGGGCGAAAGCCUGAUCCAGCCAUGCCGCGUGUGUGAAGAAGGUCUUCGGAUUGUAAAGCACUUUAAGUUGGGAGGAAGGGCAGUAAGUUAAUACCUUGCUGUUUUGACGUUACCGACAGAAUAAGCACCGGCUAACUCUGUGCCAGCAGCCGCGGUAA
rnacentral:rRNA from 1 species